rnacentral:lncRNA from 1 species
GCCAUACAUAAACAGGGGGUGGAGGCUGGCUGGGUAUGUGAUACGAGGUUCACCGCCGCCACCACUCCACCCACAAACCCUAAUCCGAACAAGGGAGGGGCAGCCAGUGACGGGAUACGCCACCAGUGCGCCUCGACCUCGCCAGAGCUUGCAGCGAUCGCCCACUAUGGUCGUCCUCGCCGUCAGCCCAAACUGGACCGAACAACGAAGACGAUGGCCGGAUCUUCCUCUUCCUCCGCAAGCGGCUUCACUGGUCGGUACCUAAAACCCUAAUUCCAUUGUUGCUAUACCGUGUGAUCCCAUUCAUCGAUNNNNNNNNNNNNNNNNNNNNNNNNNNNNNNNNNNNNNNNNNNNNNNNNNNNNNNNNNNNNNNNNNNNNNNNNNNNNNNNNNNNNNNNNNNNNNNNNNNNNNNNNNNNNNNNNNNNNNNNNNNNNNNNNNNNNNNNNNNNNNNNNNNNNNNNNNNNNNNNNNNNNNNNNNNNNNNNNNNNNNNNNNNNNNNNNNNNNNNNNNNNNNNNNNNNNNNNNNNNNNNNNNNNNNNNNNNNNNNNNNNNNNNNNNNNNNNNNNNNNNNNNNNNNNNNNNNNNNNNNNNNNNNNNNNNNNNNNNNNNNNNNNNNNNNNNNNNNNNNNNNNNNNNNNNNNNNNNNNNNNNNNNNNNNNNNNNNNNNNNNNNNNNNNNNNNNNNNNNNNNNNNNNNNNNNNNNNNNNNNNNNNNNNNNNNNNNNNNNNNNNNNNNNNNNNNNNNNNNNNNNNNNNNNNNNNNNNNNNNNNNNNNNNNNNNNNNNNNNNNNNNNNNNNNNNNNNNNNNNNNNNNNNNNNNNNGGCAGCACUCGCGCGAGAGAGACGGGAACAGUUAGGGUUAGGGUUUGACCGAGGGCGGCGACAGCUCAGGGGUUUUGACCCCGAAUCGGCCGGCUGGCCGUCCGGUCGCCCCAACCCUAGAUCGGACGGCCGGGGACGACUGGGCCUCUUUUGGCCCAAGAGGGAGAGCGCGGGAGGCCACUUUCCCGGCCCAGGCCCAGGUUGCGGCCUGGAUGUGGGGGGUGGCGCGCGCGCGGGGAGAAAAGGCCGGUUGGGCCGAGCUCUUUUCCCCUAUAACAAGGUCUAUUAUGGGUACCUCGGGGCCGAUUUAAAUUAUAGUCAUUGAAUAUUUUGUGUUUUUCUAAGCAAUUUGACCCAACGUGAUAAUUGCGUAGAGAAUACUUAAAUGUUUCUUCCGCUGCAAAAUAGAUAAAGUUAUUGAAUGCUUAUUUUGAAUCUUUUCUAAGCAAUUUGAACCAAUGUGAAAAUUGUUUAGAGGAUAUAUAAUUGUUUUUUCCGCUGCGAAUAGUUUUUACGGUGUAUUUAAUUGAAUUUCCGCUGCAAACUGAUUAAAAUUGAUGAAAGUUACUGUUUCCAAAAUUAAAUUUCGAACCAACGGGAGAAUUUAAUUUUGGGACAUUGAUUAUGUGCUGUGAUAUUUGAUUUUGACCAACGUUUUAAUCAUAAUAUUACAGUUAUGGUUCCAUGUGUUAUGCCUAAUUUUAUCCACCACUAACUUAGGCCUAAUGCAUAAUAUUUUAUCGUUGAUUUUGUUUUCACCAUACAUAAUUGUUACUGUUGACUACUCCUUGAUGUGUUGCAUAAGAGACAUACCAACCCUAAAAGGAAACGACUACGCUGAAAGGAAAAGAAAACACGACCUUGUUUUUAUCUUGGGAGAUGUGGACCGGGUAUUAACUACCCAUAUCCUAUAGAGUCUACUGCACUAGUCAGAUGCGCAGAUGAGUCAGAUGUGGACUAGCAAAAAAGAGAGAGGGACCAUGCUCCCCUUGUUAUGUCAUAUGAUAUAGAACAUAUAAAGUGGGCCUUAGCCAAUAAGAAAUGUUUAGCUGUGAUAAAGGACACGAUUGAGCCAUUCAUAUUGGGCUCAAUCUCAGACUCUGACACCGCCUCACAGUACCUUGAAAGAAUAAAGGUUCUUCAAAGAUUUUUGUGACACAGCUGAUAGAGCAGCUUGUGACAGAGAAGUACCGUAGAGGUGGUAUAAGAGAUCACAUCCUUAGGAUGAGACAUGGCUUCCAAGUUGAAGCCAAUGAAUUUGGAUGGAUAUCAUUGCCGCUUUGGAGAUGGCAAAUGCGAAAUAUGGUGUAAUAAUGAACGCAUUGGUCUUGCUAUGUUGCAAGACGAGCUUUAUUUGUUAUCUCUAUCUGAAAGUGUGAAUGUUGUGUUCUCGUCAACAACAGAAAAUAAGAAAAAAAAGAGAACCCCUAAUGUCUCAUCGAAAUUAUGGCACUAUUGUUUAGGCCAUAUUUCGAGGGGGAGAACUGAGAGACUAGUUAAGAAUGAGAUUCUUCCUCCAUUGGAGUUCUCAGACCUAGAACAAUGCAUAGAUUGCAUUAAAGGCAAAUUUGUAAAGAGCAUCAAAAAGGGUGCAACUCGUUCCACGCGAAACUUAGAGGUCAUUCAUACAGACAUUUGUGGUCCAUUUCCUGUGAAAAGCGUGGAUGGCUAUGACUCAUUCAUAACAUUCACAGAUGAUUACUCCCGCUAUGGUUAUAUUUAUCCAAUUAAAGAAAGAUCAGAAGCUUUGGAUAAAUUUAAGAUCUUUAAGGCUGAAGUUGAAAACCAGCAUGACAAAAAGAUUAAAGUAGUAAGGUCUGACCGUGGGGGCAGUACUAUGGUCGACACACGCCAUAUGGGCAAGUCCCUAGACCUUUUGCAAGGUUCUUAUUAGAAAAUGGAAUUGUAGCCGAGUACUCUACACCGAGGGAACCUCAACAGAAUGAAGUAGCUGAAAGGCGUAACCGUACCCUCAUGGAUAUGGUGCGUAGUAUGAUGAGCUAUUCCAACCUACCAUUGGGGUUAUGGAUGGAGGCGUUAAAAAUCGUCAUUCAUAUUGUCAAUAGAGUUCCAAGCAAAUCGGUGCCCAAAACACCGUAUGAGCUAUGGACAAGAAGAAUCCCCUCGCUAGCUCGCCUUCGUGUGUGGGGUAGUCCUGCAGAGGCUAAAGUAUUUAACCCAACCAUUGGGAAGUUGGACCCAAAGACAGUGAGCUGCCAUUUUAUUGGCUAUCCUGAAAGAUCAAAGGGUUAUUGUUUCUAUUGUCCCGACAAUAGAUCAAAGGGUUAUCGUUUCUAUUGUCCCGACAAUUAUACAAUGUUUGUAGAAACGAGACACGCUAUCUUCUUGGAAGACGAGAUGAUUAUGGGGAGCUCGGUAGUUCGAGAGAUUGAUCUUGAGGAGAGGCGGGUGUCAGAACCCGCUCUGUCGAGUCAAGAACCUUUCUUCUCUCUACCUGCUGAUGUCGGGCCAACACCGUCAAUUCCGUUUGACGUUGUGGUACCAACUCCUGUUGUUACCCCUCCUGUGGCAACAAUGAACGAAAGUGAGGAACCUGUCAUAUAGGAUUUGACAGAAACUAGUGCCACACUAGAGGAGGAGCCUCAACAGCCUCGAACAGAUAAUGUGCCAGAACAGGAGGCCCCUAGAAGGUCUGAAAGAGUAAGAAGAUCGGCUAUUCGUGAUGACUAUGAAGUUUAUAAUAUAGAAGAGUCCCAUAUGCAGGAUGAUCCCAUCUCGUAUGAAGAUGCCAUGAGAAGCUCCCACUCAUCUGAAUGGUUGGAAGUCGUGAAAGAUGAAAUGAAAUUAAUGAAAUUAAAUGAUGUCUGGGAUUUAAAACAAAUUCCUAAAUGAGCCAAAACAGUAGGCUCUAAAUGGGUCUACAAAACCAAAUAUGACUCUAGAGGGAAUAUAGAAAAGUUUAAGGCGCGACUUGUGGCAAAAGGUUUCACGCAAAGAGAAGGAAUUGAUUAUAACGAGACAUUUUCUCUAGUCUCGUGUAAAGAUUCCUUCAGAAUUAUAAUGACAUUGGUGGCACAUUAUGAUUUGGAAUUACAUCAUAUAGAUGUAAAAACGACAUUUCUAAAUAGUGAUUUGGAGGAAAAAGUAUAUAUGGCACAACCAAAAGGUUUUGUCAUAAAAGGAAAUGAAAGUAUAGGAUGCCGAUUGAAGAGAUCAAUUUAUGGAUUAAAGCAAGCUUUGAGACAAUGGUACUUGAAGUUUGAUGGGACAAUAAAGAAAUUUGGGUUCCAAGAGAAUGUUGAGGACUACUGUAUUUAUUCAAAGUUUAAGAAUGAGAGAUUUAUUUUCCUGAUUCUGUAUGUGGAUGACAUUUUACUAGCUAGUAAUGAUGUCAGUCUACUGCAUGAAACAAAGAAAUUCUUGUCAUCAAAUUUUGACAUGAAAGACCUCGGUGAAGCUUCAUAUGUUUUGGGCAUAAAGAUUCACCGAGAUAGAAGAAAAUACGCAUUGGGACUUUCCCAAAAGACAUAUAUAGAAAAGGUGUUGAAGAAAUUCAACAUGUCCAACUGUAGUUCUUCACCUGCUCCUGUGGUAAAAGGCGAAAAGUAUGGGCAUCACAGUGUCCCAGAAAUCAAUAUGAGCUCAAUCAAAUGAAAACAAAGCCUUAUGCGUUAGUUGUAGGAAGCCUAUAGUACGCGCAAGUGUGCACACGACCUGACUUGCAUUUGUUACCGGGUUACUUGGCAGAUUUCAGAGUAAUCUAGGCCUAGAGCACUGGAAAUUAGUAAAGAAAGUCUUGCGUUAUUUGCAAGGAACAAAAGGCCUCAUGCUAUCUUACAGAAGAUCAGAAUCGCUCCAGGUAGUGGGGUACUCUAAUUCUGACUUUGCAACAGAUAAUACAAAGUCAACAUCGGGAUACGUGUUUACUCUUGCAGGAGGAGCUCUAUUUCAUGGAAAAGCUCAAAACAGACGAUCACCGCAGGGUCUACAAUGUAUGCCGAGUUUAUAGCAUGCUAUAAGGCAACAGGGCAGGUGAACUGGCUUAAAAAAAUUCAUACCCGGUUUAAAGGUGGUUAACAGUAUUGAAAAACCACUAAAGUUAUACUGUGACAAUGAAUCCGCAGUAAUGUAUGCUCACAACAAUCAGUCAAGUGGUGCUGCCAAACACAUUGACAUAAAGUACUAUGUUGUAAAAGACAAAGUCCAGGAUCAAACAAUCAGUCCCGAGCACAAAUAGAACAGAUAAAAUGCUCGCGGAUCUGCUCACGAAAGGCCUAUCACCCAACGUGUUUAAGGAACAUGUAGCCGGCAUGCGUUUACGGGAAGCCUUAUGAAUCCUGGACUAUAUGGCCGGCAUGCGUUUCCGGGAAGCCUUAUGAAUCCUGGACUAUAUGGCCGGCAUGCGUUUCCGGGAAGCCUUAUGAAUCCUGGACUAUAUGGCCGGCAUGCGUUUCCGGGAAGCCUUAUGAAUCCUGGACUAUAUGGCCGGCAUGCGUUUCCGGGAAGCCUUAUGAAUCCUGGACUAUAUGGCCGGCAUGCGUUUCCGGGAAGCCUUAUGAAUCCUGGACUAUAUGGCCGGCAUGCGUUUCCGGGAAGCCUUAUGAAUCCUGGACUAUAUGGCCGGCAUGCGUUUCCGGGAAGCCUUAUGAAUCCUGGACUAUAUGGCCGGCAUGCGUUUCCGGGAAGCCUUAUGAAUCCUGGACUAUAUGGCCCAAAAGUAAAGUAUCUGUUUCUGAAUGGAGAUGUAUAUAGUGGCUGUGGAAUCUAUCGGUAAUUAACUGAGACGAUGAAACAUGCUCUAUGUGCAACUCUGUGAUGGAAUAGAAAAAGACUAAAAAAAAUAGUGAGAUCAAGGGGGAGAAUGUUGGAAUUGAUCUCCAGCCCUUUAGCCCAACGGCUAAAGGGCAACCUUGACCGUGCCCUGAUUGGGGACGCCCAGCCCAAUGGGCUGGUGGGCCCCGUCACCCUGCGCCAUAUAUAAACAGGGGGUGGAGGCUAGCUGGGUACGUGAUACGAGGUUCACUGCCGCCACCACUCCACCCACAAACCCUAAUCCGAUCAAGGGAGGCAUAGCCAGUGACGGGAUACGCCACCAGUGCGCCUCGACCUCGCCAGAGCUCGCAACGAUCGCCCACGACGGUCGUCCUUGCCAUCAGCCCCAAGCUGGACCGAACAACGAAGACGAUGGCCGAAUCUUCCUCUUCCUCCGCAAGCGGCUUCACUGGUCGGUACCUAAAACCCUAAUUCCAUUGUUGCUAUACCGUGUGAUCCCAUUCAUCGAUGCAAUAGAGAAAACCCAACUAGAGCUAGAACCCUAGAUGGUCCGAAUGGAUUCUAACAGGAGCAUGGGCAGCGGGUGUGGGACAGCGUGGCAAGCUCCGCUGGAUCGGGCGAUCGAUGACACGGGGGAAAAGUCCGGGGGCUUGCAGGUAGACGGGUCGGGCACCGGAAUUUGUGGCAGGGGAGGGGGGGCUGGGGUUUCCCCCCCCCCCCCCCCCCCCCCCCACCCCACCCCCCCCCCGCUACAGUGGAUUCAUGUUUCAACCGUCCCUAGAUUGCUCUCAGCUACUAGCUAGACACAACAAUACAACCACUUCAGUCGACAUCUCCUCCAACUCAACGACCACCGUUGGCUUGCUCAAGUCUGCUGCUACGCAGAUACCUGAUAGACCACAUGUGAAUGCUUAGUACAUAAGAGAACUUUAUUUUUUUACACGUCAGUGAAAUUAGACCUUUUUUUAAUCAGAAAUACACGGGAUCCGACUACAGCGAAUGCGGUUAGAUGGCGACGACGUUUUCUACUUCUGCGGUUAGAUGACUGCCCCUCCCCCUCCUUCCGUCGUCGCCUUCUGCUUCUGUGAGAUCACUGUCAGCUCACGUGCGAUCGAGGUGCACACCACCUUGCUGCAUCCACCCAAAAGAAACCAACCACACGUCAGCAAGAGCGCAAGCGAGAGAGAGGGGGAGGGGAAAAGGAGAAGGGCUCACAUCUUGGAGAGCUUGUUGGGGGUACCGCCUGUGACCUUAACGACGCGGAGGUGGGAGAGCUCUGCCUUGAGGUCCUUGAACUGGGCCUGCAGCUCCGUGCCUGUUCUUCCCACUUAGCUUGUGCAUCUUGAACCGGGUUGCGGUGGUGGCAACGGCAAUGACUGAGGUGACGAUGACAGGUGACGACGAUAGCCGAGAGCAGCCAGCGGCGGUCAAUGAUGACGACGGUGACGAUGCACUCCAUUCACUCUAACAACCCAAGGAUUCAGCAGAUUUUGGAUGAUACUAACCGAGUAUCAGAUGUUAUCGCACCAGUAUAACCUGGUACUGGAGCGGUAUCAUGUUUGAUACCUCGUCGAAAUUAUCCCGUUUCAGUAUGAUAUCUAGUACCGAUGAAGUAUCAUGUUUGAUACCUCGUCGGAAUCAUCUCGUUUUCAGUAUCGGAUAUGAUACCUACCUCGUCGGAGUCAUCUCGUUUCCACUAUCAGAUUUGGUUCCGAUUAGGUAUCGUGUUUGAUACCUCGUUAGAAAUAUCACGUUUUAAAAUUGGAUCCCGUAUUGUAGCACUCCCUUUUUUAAUAUGCUACUCAAAAUUAGAUUUUUCCUCUUCGUACCACUAUUUCCCCCUUAUAUAAUCUUAUAAACCACAUGGAAAGAUAAGACGUUCUCAUUUUUACUUUUUAUGCGUUUUGUACCAAUUCCUUAUAGUGAUUUUUGUUAAUUGGCUUAUGUGCUUUUUUCCCGUAAGGAUUUUCACUGGAAAUCUAUGUCUUUAUGAUGCCUCUAUUUUUAUAACAUGGUCUUCGGAUCUAGGUCUAUUUUUUGCUACUCAUAUCCUCUGUUCCUAUAUAGUUCACUCAUAAAAUUGGAUUCCUAGAAGACCACAUCAUCAUGAAAUUAUAGCUGUCCUCAAAACUGAUUAGCUUUGGAUCUGUCGCCACGUGUACAUGGAUUUCAGCCCAUUAGAUCCACCCAUCCUUUUCAGCCGAAAUGCCCACCAUGGAGACAAAACUAUACAUUUGGUUCCAAUCCAUCCGUAAUUUCAUCAAUGGAGAUACCAACAGAUAGAUUUAAUACUUAUAUUAUUAGAUACAUACCUUCUAUUUCAGUCUAGCUUCAGUUAUCACUACCUUUCUACUAGUUGAUGUAAUCAAUAAAAUAAUGCACCUUAUAUAUUUGCAUAUUACUAUUAAAUUAUGUCUUUACACUGUCUUUUAUACGUGCUUCAUUUGAUAUGACAUGUAUUUGUUCAUUGUGUUUAUAAUUCAUUUUAAAUUUAAAUUCUUAACUGAUGUUAUGGUUCUCAUUACGAAUCUAAAACUACACGCAUGCCAAUAGUUCAUAUUAGCGUUCAGAUUUUAAAAUUUCUAAUAUGCCCGCAGUAACACGUGGGGUAUCAACUAGUUCAUAUAAUCACCAUCCCACGUAUAGUUUUGAGCCCAGCAUGCAAGCCUGGCCGUCACUGGACUCUAUAGCUGGUUGAUCAGAGAGAUGGCCCAAUAGCCAUGGAGCGACUGGCCGGAAUAGCUACUAGCUAGCCCAUUCAAUGAUCAAUGCAAAAUCUUCCAAUGGGAAAACAUUACCAUUUUAUUUAUUCAGUGGAGAGCACAGCAAACCUGUUUUAGGCUGCGUUCGUUGCCCCCUGCUAGAUAACUUAUCCCUCUCGUUUUCGUUUUCUACGCGUAUGUUUUCCGAUCUGCUAAACGGUGUAUGUUUUGCAAAAAUUUUCUAUAGAAAAGUUAUUUUAAAAAAUUAUAUUAAUCUAUUUAUAUCUUUUAAUAAUUAAUUAAUCAUGCACUAAUCUAUUACUAUGUUUUCCGCGUUAGAAUAAGUUAACUUACUCUUAUCCAACGAACACGGCCUUAGGCGAACUAGCUAAGACCAAACUUUUACAGCAAGACAUAGCUUCGUAAAGUCAUCAACAAUUAAUAAUAUAGUACUCCGUUUUAUAAUGCAAGAUGUUUGAUUUUUUUCUUAUAAUGUUUGACCAUUUGUCUUAUUUAAAAAAUUAUGGAAAUGUCAUUUAUUUUGCUUGUGACUUACUUUAUUAUUAAAAGAACUUUAAGCAUGUCUUAUCAUUUUUUAUAUUUGUACUAAAUUUUUGAAUAAAACAAAUGGUCAAACGUUUCAACCAAAAUAAGUCCAAUAUCUUUCAUUAUAAAACAGAGGCAGUAGGAUGCAGCUUUUCAGUAAUACAAGGGUUUCAACAGGAGGAACAAACUAAUGAUGUCGUCCACAGUACUACAAAUGUGUAUUAAUUCCAGCCAAGCUGUGGCACAACCAUAUGCCUAUGUAGUCUUCAUCUUUUCAACUUGAAACGCUGCAUAAAUCUUCUUAAAGCUCCUUAGGGUAACGAGAGUUGGCAUCACAACCCACGAACUGUUUGCGCCAACGAAAUAAGCCCAGAAGUAGAACGGACUAACCCAGAAGUUGAAGCCAUCCAGGUAUGCUGUGGCGUAGUAGACCAACAUCCCGUAGAGCUCACAGAGAGAAACAGUGAACUGGAUGGUAUGGCUGUAGGCCUUUUGGGAUGCGAUGGCAUAGCUGCAAGAAGCAAACCUUUUGUCAGGUAGAAACAAUAGAAAAACAACACGCGGAAACACUGAAAAAAAAAGGUCUUCUACAAGCUCCAUGGAAAUACAGGAUGUACAUUGUCUAGCUUAAUUUUUUUUGUUUUUUAAACUUUUUAAUAAAUAAUUUUAUUACUAAACAUCAAUAGAAAAUAUUUUCACUUUAUGAACCUUAACACCGCUGCCACGCAAGCUGGUCAGUGUGACGUUGCAAGACAAAUAUGUCACACCGUCGGUGACGUGCAAAACUACCAUACCAAAUACUUUGUGUGGCAAUCUUGUAUUGUCAUGCCAAUGUUGAUGGCGUGGCCAAACAUUCAUACGGUGAAAAUAUUUUCUCUUGAGAUUUAGUAAUAAUUAUUUAUUAAAAAUGUUUAAAAAAAUUCGCAUUGAACUGAUGUGGCUAUUUUAAUUUCGUAACAACACAUGGGCAUUCUUCUAGUUAGAUCAAAUGAGGAGAAACCAUACACAGCAAGGAGUGAUGCAGGACCAGCCAACAACACAUUGAUUCCUGAAACUGUAACAGCUGCAGGGUCUCUGGCGACACAUCUGGAGUCGCCUUUGCCGAACUCCUUCCCUGAUCAAGGCUGAUGACAUUAAUUUGCACAUCCAAAAAAUACAAGAAAACACAAAUGAUAUCAAGGACAGGGUAAGUAAGCAGCGGUAGAAGAACAUACAGAGUUCAUCGAAGAAAGAGGGGUUCUGAUUGCUGAAAAACCUAGGGGAGAAGACGAAGGCUCCCUCGGUGAUUAUGUGGGUGAGACCGGUGUAGACAAACCAGCACAUGAGCCAGCGGUCGGUCUUGGAUAGCCUGCCUCCAUACAUUCCUGCAAAGUUAACAGCCAUAUAUAUCCACACGAGCCACAGAUUAAUUAGUAGCCUAAAGAGCAAAGCACAAGCAUGGCACAGCCAUUAAUGGUGUGAUCAAGCUGAUAAUGUAUAGAGACUACUAGAGGCAUGACAAUAGCUGCCGAACCAAUCAACAAGCAUCAUGACAUACACAAAGAUAUCAGCUUUGGGGAUCGAUGGAGAGAAAACCAAAUGAUAUAUUUGCAGACGAAAAAUAGUUUUUGGAUAAAAUUUUUAUAUACGUAGCAAUAUAAAAGCAAAAAAAACUAGAAAAUAAACUAUAAUUAAAAAACUCAAAAUAAGGUUAAAAAUUUAUUAAAUUUUAACUUAAGCAAAAGCAGAAGCGAAAACGGGAAAUGAAGUGGAGAUUGCAAUGAGAUUGACCGGGCAGGUUGCAGGUACCGGAGAUGAGCCAGACGGCGACGAUGAUCACAAUGGAGAUGAUGAGGUAGGGGAGGAGGAUUUCCAUCUGGGAAAGCUGGAGAGGCACAAAGCCG